UACGUAGGGUGCAAGCGUUAAUCGGAAUUACUGGGCGUAAAGCGUGCGCAGGCGGUUUUGUAAGUCUGUCGUGAAAUCCUCGGGCUCAACCUGAGAAUUGCGAUGGAGACUGCAAGGCUAGAAUCUGGCAGAGGGGGGUAGAAUUCCACGUGUAGCAGUGAAAUGCGUAGAGAUGUGGAGGAACACCGAUGGCGAAGGCAGCCCCCUGGGUCAAGAUUGACGCUCAUGCACGAAAGCGUGGG
rnacentral:rRNA from 1 species